rnacentral:rRNA from 1 species
GACGAACGCUGGCGGCGUGCUUAACACAUGCAAGUCGAACGGAAAGGCCCUGCUUUUGUGGGGUGCUCGAGUGGCGAACGGGUGAGUAACACGUGAGUAACCUGCCCUUGACUUUGGGAUAACUUCAGGAAACUGGGGCUAAUACCGGAUAGGAGCUCCUGCUCCAUGGUGGGGGUUGGAAAGUUUCGGCGGUUGGGGAUGGACUCGCGGCUUAUCAGCUUGUUGGUGGGGUAGUGGCUUACCAAGGCUUUGACGGGUAGCCGGCCUGAGAGGGUGACCGGCCACAUUGGGACUGAGAUACGGCCCAGAAUCCUACGGGAGGCAGCAGUGGGGAAUAUUGCACAAUGGGCGGAAGCCUGAUGCAGAAACGCCGCGUGCGGGAUAACGGCCUUCGGGUUGUAAACCGAUUUCGCCUGUGACGAAGCGUGAGUGACGGUAAUGAGUAAAGAAGCACCGGCUAACUACGUG